rnacentral:sRNA from 1 species
UCUAAGCAGGAACUAGCUCGUAGCUCGUGUAACCGAUGGAUCUGGAGAUCCUUGUCCGGAUAUAUAGGGGUUGUGCUUUUUUACUGAUCAGCUUGAUUUUUCCUUUUUUUUCAACCGGGGAUGUAGGAAUAUUUAUCCGACAUCGAAGUUGGGUCCUGGUAUCAGAUUGACCCGCGAUGUAGAUCUGUGUUGUGCAUCCUAGUCAUACAUGCACUUAGUAUGUGUGCAUCCGACUGGACAAACUAAGAGGGAUAUACGAUAUACUGUGCGUAGUUCCCGGGUAUAAUUUAUCAAGGAGAUGAAAUUGCGACAAUCCUGUCUGGAUAUCUACGCCAAUACAGAAAA